rnacentral:rRNA from 1 species
CAGGACCUACGGGAGGCAGCAGUGGGGAAUAUUGCGCAAUGGACGAAAGUCUGACGCAGCGACGCCGCGUGAGGGAUGAAGGUUUUCGGAUCGUAAACCUCUGUCAGGAGGGAAGAAAGCGCAUGGCGCCAAUCAGCCAUGCGUUGACGGUGCCUCCAAAGGAAGCGCCGGCUAACUCCGUGCCAGCAGCCGCGGUAAUACGGCGGGCGCGAGCGUUAAUCGGAAUUACUGGGCGUAAAGCGCGCGUAGGAUGUUGUGUAAGAUGGGGGUGA